rnacentral:rRNA from 1 species
UACGUAGGGAGCAAGCGUUGGCCGGAAUCAUUGGGCGUAAAGCGCGCGUAGGCGGCCCUGUAAGUCCGUUGUGAAAGUCAAAGGCUCAACCUUUGAAAGCCGAUGGAUACUGCAGGGCUAGAGUCCGGAAGAGGCGAGUGGAAUUCCUGGUGUAGCGGUGGAAUGCGCAGAUAUCAGGAGGAACACCAAUAGCGAAGGCAGCUCGCUGGGACGGUACUGACGCUAAGGCGCGAAAGCGUGGGGAGCGAACAGG